ACUCCCCGCUAACUUUUCUUUCUUUCUCUCUCUCCCCUCCCCCUUUUCCCCUUGCAAUUUGUCUUCACUCUCAACUGAUGCUCACUUUAGUCCCCAUACUCCAACGCUAAGGGAGGGCCUUUCCGAAGGUCAUCUCUUACCACCCAAGGGAGAAGCCUCCGUGGAGGUAAAUGAGAGGACAUUGAAAAAGAUCUCAUCUUCAUGCACUGUACCUUUUCCUGUACCUCCUGAGAUCUGAGAGGUCUCAGGACUUUUGUCCGGGGCCUCUAGUACUCUGCCUUUCAUCUGAAGUCACCUUGGUCUUCAGCAUCUCUGUGAAGUUGGACAAGAGGAAUGACUUUUAAUAAAGCUUUCUCCCAGGAGCCAGCGGCCUUGACAUGGAUAGACUAGAAGAGAAAAGAGCCACAGUGACUCUGAAAGAAGAAAGACACAUGAAGACAUAGUGGUACAUGGACGUGAGCAGUGUUCGGGUUCAGUGAGCCAGGUGGAAUGGCCUGGGGUGGGAGAGCUUCAUGUGAGAAGAGGAAUAGGGAGAAAGGAAGAUGGUGAGAUGGACUUGUAUCAGGUGGGUAGACAUGUGGGAACACUAAGAGAAGAAUGAUGGUUGGAGUUUGAAUGGACUGUAGAGGCCAAUGAGAUAGUGGAAAAUGAGUCAAGGACAGAGACUGAGACUAUCUUAGUUCCAAGUAUAUCAUAGUAACAACUUUCACUGUUCACCACCACCAUCACUGCCGCCAUCACCACCGCCCUCCUCACCACCACCACCAUCAGCAGCAGCACAUGAGCACCACCAUCGCCAACAUCACAAUGAAAGAAACAACGAGGGCAUCUAAAUUACUGGAUGCUUUCUGUGGACCAGGGAGAGUGCUGAGUGUGUAUUUAUUCAAUCCUCACAGAAACCUUAUGCUUUCUUUAAAGAUAAGAAAAGGGAGACUUAGAGAGUUCCAGAAAAUUUUUGAAGGAAACACAGUAAAGUGUAGAGUUAUGCUUUUAAUCAUUAUUUGUGGUUAUUACAGAAAAGACAAAGCUAUGACAAAGACAGAAAACUUGGACAGAGCUACCGAACAAAAUAAAACCUGAGCCUUUGCCAUGCUGGGGCCGUCUUUAGCAGAUCUGAUCAGUAUGUGGAUGUCUGAAGGGAACUCUUCAUGUGUUUUGCCCACUGCUUGCUCCCUGGUGGCAAGUGUCCAACAUCUGGGAAGUCAGCUGUCAUUGCGGCCAGCUUGUAAACCAACACCCUCCCGGGCAGGUGUGGUCUUGUCUGACUUUGGGAAGACCACUCGUUCCUCCUCCCACGGCCUCCAGCUGGAGUCAGGGGGAGGGAAGCUGCAGAAAGGGCAUGACCUUUUUUAAUAGCUGCUAUUUCCACGGAGUCUUUCCUUCACUCUGAGUGUAGUCUUAAGUGCUCAGUGAGGAUUCCAAUGAGUGAAUCACAUACGGCAUGAUGUACUGGUCAGUAUAAGACAUUUCAUAACCCCGGUGGCUUUAGUGAUUUGUUUAUUGUUAUUUCUCUUUCCAAGUUAGAAUUCAUCAUUUCUGUGUGUGGAAGAGGCACUCUUUUCAUCACUUCUGCUUCAUGCUAGACUAGAAACUGUCUUAGGGACCUGGGAGAUGCGAGAUGCUUGACUAUCAGAAAAAAGCUAAUGAAAAGAAUAUUUAGCUCCGUUUUCUAGAUCACAAAACUGAGACCCAAAGACUUGGACUGCAUAUCCUAUCUGGGGGUGAAUUCUUUUAAAGAACUAUGUUAAACACAUAAUAGAGAUUUAGAAGCUUUACAUCUCUUAAUGCUGGGGGACUGAUAAACCUUAAGUCAGAGGUGCUUCUGAGGAGGGGAAGAAAAAAGAAAUAACCAACCCCUUUAACAGACGGAAGGACACAGCUUUCCUAUCAUUCUGGUUUAAAAAAACAGAUGUGUAAAUGGACAAAUUACAAGAGGACUAAUCAUUUUACAAACCAAGAUGCUGCAGAACUACUUUCAAUAGAAGUUCUGAUAGUACAUUUUAAAUCACAUCAGAUUUACUUGUAAUUAAUUACAUGCAGCUUUUCAUCAGAGCAAUUACUAUGUAGAACAAGAGAUACAGGUACCCUCACUACCUGAAACACAUUAUGAGGGUGUUUACCUGGCAUAUUUUCUUAGGUCAAAGGGUUAAGGGAUUGGCGAACUUAAUUUUACAUUGUUUCUGGGGUCCUUUCAAAGGGUAAGGAGGUUGUUAUGGACUCAGUUGUGUGUGUGGAGGGGGAGGGGCUAUUGCUAGGAUUCAAAGGAGCAGGGUAUUUCAAGAGGGGUUUCCCCCUCUGUAAGCCAAUAAAUAGAUCAUGGGCUUGUUCUUUUGAGGUCUAGGAAGUAAAAUAAAAGACAUUACUCAUCUUUAAAUCUUUUCAAAAGGUAACAUAGUAGGUCAAAAUACAGGCGUUGGAAUCAAGAGACAAGGAUUUGAAGCCUGUGAUCUGUCACUUGGUAGCUACUUAACUUUGUUUAAGGACCUUAACUUCUCUGAGCCUUAAUGCCCUCACCUGUAAAAUAGAGAUCGUCACACCUGGAUGCCAUUAGGAUUAAAUGAGAAAAUGUGCAAAUGUUCAGAAUGAUGUAAGAGUGUAACAUAGUGCCUGACAUAAAACAGACACUCAGUAAAGUGACAUAGAAUAGUGGACAAGUUAAUAGACAUACUGAAAAACAUGGAAAUUUGUGUCUGUACUAAUUGGUGCAAGCCUGAAACCCAGGAAGAAAUCAGAACUGCAACAUGUGAUGAAGGAUAAACUUUAUUGCUAAGUGAAUGUUUGAAGAGCCCCAAAGAAAUUCCCACGUGAGCAAAAUGGUUCUUCAGUCCUUAAACCCACUACUCACCCUCUGCCCCAACUGAGGUGGGGUUUCUUUUUGGUAGGAUUUCUCUUGCCAAAUGAGA